AUGGUGAUCAUGACAAAGAGGGUACAAAGAGGGAGGAUGCAGGCAGGUGUUGAAGGGAAGGUGGGGAUGAUGGUGUUGGUGAUGAUGAUCGGGUUGGUGGUGGUGGUCGUGAGUCAUGGUGAGAUGGUCAUGAUGACGAAAGGGUUGGCAGUGGUGGUCACCAUGGCCAUGAUGAUGAUGGUCAUGAUGACGACAGGGUUGGCGGUGGUGGUCACCAUGGCCAUGAUCAUGAUGGUCAUGAUGACAAUAGGGUUGGUGUUGGUGGUCACCAUGGCCAUGAUGAUGAUGGUGUUGUUGAUGAUGGUAGUGGUUAACAUGAUAGAGGAGGUAGGAUGUGGGCAGGUGUCAGGGACAAGCAUAGACAGAGGUGAUGGUGACGUGAAUGGUGACGAUGUGGUGAUCUUCUCUCAAACACGGAUGUAUCCACAGCCCACCUUGCGUUGCCUGAUGCAGCACCAGCUUUCCCAUUAUUUAACCCAAAAACCUUGGAGUUGAAGUUACUCAUAACUUAGUUCUCUAAGUCACUGUUGCAGACGGAAUGUCUGUGUCCCCUCCCCCCCUGCAAAAUUCACGUCUUUGAGACCUAAAUCCCAGUGUGACUGUAUUUGGAGACGAAGUUUCUAAGGAAGAAACAAACGUGAAAUGAGGUCCUAACGGUGAGGUCCUCAUCCAACAGAACCCCUUGUAAGUGUCCCUGUAGGAAGAGACAUGGGAGGACGCACCCUGUCCCCACCCCGACCCGUUCAGCUUGCACGUGAAGCCCACCUGAGGACACGAUGAGAAAAUGGCCAUCUGCGAAACAGGAAGCAAAGUCUCACCAGAAACCCAAUCAGCCCGCAUCCUGACCGCAGACCUUCAGGGUCCAGAAUUGCCAGAGACCAAGGUCUGCGGUUUAAGCCGCCCACUCUGUGGCAAUGUCUCCCAGCGGCUCUACUGGGCUAAUACGGUCACUUUCACACAGCAAAUCGUCUCGGUUCAACCUCCAAAUGGUCCCAGAAGUCGAGCACCCGGUAAGAUGUCCCCGAUUCUAAACACCACCAUCCACCACAUCCUCAAGGGUGCAUGCUCCCAAGCCUCUGCCCCCGACAAGCCCCAACAAGAACCUCUGAACCCAUGGGAGACGUGGUCACAGCUGAAGAUCCUGCAGCCCCUCCCCCAGUGCUCACACCCGGCCAGCCCUGCUCUGUGCCUUCCGGUCCCGGCUUGCCCAGCCCCACACCGGCCACAGUGACCUCCUUAGAGCUUCUGGAACACGUGCACGGGGCCUCGAGGUGGCCCUGGGGUUCCAGAGCACAUUCUGGGCCGGCAGCAUCGCUGGGGACUUGUGAGGAAUGCAGAGUCACGGGCUCCAGCUCAAGGGAGGGGACCCAGGAAAAAUCUCCAGGGCGGGGCCAGCAUCGGCCCUGCAGGGGAUGGUGACGCGGCCCAAGCCUGAAGACCAGCCACGGUGCCCACGGUCUUGUCCGCAAGGGAGCCCCUGCCUCACCUUCCAGGAUUCGAUCAAACAUCUCCUGGGAACGGCGGACCGCACGGUGCCCUCCACGUGCCAGCAUGGCCCGCCCCCGCCUCCCGUGGCCCCGAUCCCACGGCGCUGCUCUCUCCUCCCGCCAAUGGUACCCACCGUGCACCCGUCUCAGCGCAGCGUAAACUCGAGCUGAGUCGUCUAUGACCUCCCAUGUCCGGAGGCAGGGGCUGGGGGAGGGGGAUGGAGGGAGUUACGCACUGACGCAGAUCAAUGUUUGUGUCCCCGCCGUGCCCCCCAGCUUCAUGGCAUUCACAUUUGCUGUUGGGCCUUCGGGACGUGUUUACAUUAGGCGAGGUUGUGACGCUGGGGUCCCCCCGGGGCUGCGAUGAGCUCCCUUAUACAAGCUCCCUUAUAGGAGCUGCCCUUAUAGGGCAGCGGGAGCAGGAUUAGGGCCAAGUUGGGGGAAGCAAGAGCGCGGGAGAAAGUCCUA
rnacentral:lncRNA from 1 species